UGGGAAUCAACCGAUGCUGAGUAGUUGCUGUCGAUCGAUGGUGUAGGCGUGUUGUUGAAGGAAUGGGUUGAAUAUCUUUCAUCCUGCAUAGAAAUCUCUAUAGCUCUUUCCUUCCAGUAAUCCUCAUCAUACUCCUCAGUAGGAUCCUCAUUGGAUGAAAGAAUCACAGUCUCCACUGCAAAACUUUCAUGGAAUCCACUAUCUGCC
rnacentral:lncRNA from 1 species